GAUUAUUUUCGGAUAAGUCAAGGUCAUUCAGGGACUUCAACAUUCCAAUUUGUUGAGGUAUAGAACCAGAGAGCUCGUUUGCGUAUAAGUAGAGAAAGAGAAGAUUUGUCAAGUUUCCUAUAGAACCAGGAAUUUCACCAAUAAGACUAUUAUUAGACAAAUCAAACCGUUUAAGGGCACUCAACA